GGGGGGGGGGGGGGGGGGGGGUGGGGGGGGGGGGGCGAGGGGGGGGGCGUGUGUCGGGGGGGGGUGGGGGGGCGAACGGGUGGGUGCCGGGUGGGUAGCCUGGCCUUGACGUUGGGGUGACUUCAGGCACCUGGGGCUAAUACCGGCUAGGAGCUCCUGCCGCCGGGUGGGGGGUGGAGAGUGUCGGCGGUUGGGGAUGGACUCGCGGCUUAUCCGCUUGUUGGUGGGGUGGGGGCUUCCCAAGCGUUUGUCGGGUAGCCGGCCUGAGAGGGUGACCGGCCACAUUGGGACUGAGAUACGGCCCAGACUCCUACGGGAGGCAGCAGUGGGGAAUAUUGCACAAGGGGUGGAAGGCUGAUGCAGCAACGCCGUGUGCGGGAUGACGGCCUUCGGGUUGUAAACCGCUUUCGCUCAUGACGAAGCUUUGUGUGACGGUAGUGGGUAAAGAAGCACCGGCUAACUACGUG
rnacentral:rRNA from 1 species